GAUGAACGCUGGCGGCGUGCCUAAUACAUGCAAGUCGAGCGAACGGACGAGAAGCUUGCUUCUCUGAUGUUAGCGGCGGACGUGUGAGUAACACGUGGAUAACCUACCUAUAAGACUGGGAUAACUUCGGGAAACCGGAGCUAAUACCGGAUAAUAUUUUGAACCGCAUGGUUCAAAAGUGAAAGACGGUCUUGCUGUCACUUAUAGAUGGAUCCGCGCUGGAUUAGCUAGUUGGUAAGGUAACAGCUUACCAAGGCAACGAUGCAUAGCCGACCUGAGAGGGUGACCGGCCACACUGGAACUGAGACACGGUCCAGACUCCUACGGGAGGCAGCAGUAGGGAAUGUUGCGCAAUGGGCGAAAGCCUGACGGAGCAACGCCGCGUGAGUGAUGAAGGUCUUCGGAUCGUAAAACUCUGUUAUUAGGGAAGAACAUAUGUGUAAGUAAAUGUGGACAUAUUGACGGUACCUGCACAGAAAGCAACGGCUAACUACGUG
rnacentral:rRNA from 1 species